rnacentral:rRNA from 1 species
CCUACGGGAGGCAGCAGUGGGGAAUAUUGGACAAUGGGCGAAAGCCUGAUCCAGCCAUGCCGCGUGUGUGAAGAAGGUCUUCGGAUUGUAAAGCACUUUAAGUUGGGAGGAAGGGCAGUAAGUUAAUACGUUGCUGUUUUGACGUUACCGACAGAAUAAGCACCGGCUAACUUCGUGCCAGCAGCCGCGGUAAUA